UACGUAGGGAGCAAGCGUUGUCCGGAAUCAUUGGGCGUAAAGCGCGCGUAGGCGGCUCGAUCAGUCUGUUGUGAAAGUCAAAGGCUCAACCUUUGAAUGCCGAUGGAUACUGUCGAGCUAGAGUCCGGAAGAGGCGGGUGGAAUUCCUGGUGUAGCAGUGGAAUGCGCAGAUAUCAGGAGGAACACCAACGGCGAAGGCAGCCCGCUGGGACGGUACUGACGCUAAGGCGCGAAAGCGUGGGGAGCGAACAGG
rnacentral:rRNA from 1 species